rnacentral:lncRNA from 1 species
GUUGUUGAAUAAUACAAGUUCUUUAUAUAUUCUAGAUACUAAUACUUUACUAUAUUUUAUUUGAAAAUAUUUUUUUCUAUUCUGUGAUUUUUCUACAUGUGUAUAUUUUAAUCAUAAUAAUUUUCUUAUAUUUGGAUAUGGUUCCUUUGUUCUAGAAAUGCAUUAUAAACAUUAUAGGUUACAAUCAUCCAUUAUCUUUCCUUUUAUUUUUUUAUAUCUCUGGUUUCUGUUGAUUGGCAAGCAUACUUACUAUUCCUGGGGUGCAAAACUUGAAUAUAACAAAAGUACAUUUUUAUAGUUGGUUCAUUUUAUUUUAGAGACUGUUUACCUAUCUUGCGGCAGACAUAUAUAUAUAUAUAUAUAUAUAUAUAGUGGAGGCAGAUUAAUACAAUAGGGAUCUUUGCUGACUUUAGUCUGGGUUGUGAAUUUUCUAAGGCUACGCUCUUUUUUUCUCCUACUUAUAGGGUUAGUUCUCUAGGUCCCAAGUUGAGACAUCUUGGGUGUUUAUGUGAACUCUGCUUGUCAGCAGAUCCAACUCUUAAAUUUUGUCUCCUUGUUACUCAGAUUCUAAUAAGUGGUGUUCUGAACUCCAGGGGCUUAGCCUUUAACAUUGUGUUCUGUAUAGGAAAGAAUUUGGUAAAAAUUAUUGUACCUUGAAGUGGUACUACAGUGAAAACUUGUCCAAGGACAGGCUUUUUCCUAGCAAUUCCUAUGGAACCCUGCUUGUUCCACACAAGAUGUGUUGACAAUCCAAAUUCCAAAUUUUGUCAUCUGAGACCUCUGAUAUUGCCAGAAUUUAUGCUGAGUUAUCUGUCCUGAAGAGCAAUUUCCAGCUAACUGAGUGAAAUUAGUCUUUGAAAUUCUACUAAUGUUAUGAGGAUUAUAGUGCUUGCAGAAUUGUGGUUCAUGGAGAUACCUUUCACUUUGAGAUCUUCAACUCCAGCAAUCUUCUGUUUGUUUAUUUAUCGUUCCUUAUUUAUUUUUAAAACUUUUUGUAGUUUCUAGUGGGAAUCAAUUGUAAUUCUUUCUCUCAUACCUAGCUUUUGAAAUCUCAUAAAUAUUUUCACUGGCAAAGUUCUAUCUGUUCUUUCAGAGGAGGGGGAGUUUUAGAUCUCAUUUGUAAUAGCAUUGUGAAGCUAAUGUUAUCUAGGUAAAAAUGGAAUUUUUCUUCCCUUAAAUAUUAAAGAAAAAUUAGAAUCAAUUCCUCUCUAUGCCUAAACAAGUAACUUUGGACAAUGUGAUAGAAAUAAAAACAUCAGUUAACCUUGCAGAGACAGGAAUUAACUCAAUCUGAAUGUCAGUAAACAUUUAGGUAACACCAAAAGUUUUUGGUUUGUGGUAACUUUGCACAUGAGUGUUGAUAAUUUCCCCCCCCCUAAAUUCCAGAGAAUAUAUAAUUCUAAUACUUCAAAUAAUUAAGUUAAACCUUUGUGAUUAUAAUGGUUAGAAACGCUUUUAUUUUUCUACAAAGCUGAUCACUUUAACUUAAUUAACUCAGAAAGUUUCAUCUUCUUAGAGAAAAACAUACAGGGAAUCUAUCCUAUAAAUUUUGCAUUUUUUCCUUAAUUUAAUUGAAACCAUUGAAUAAUUCUUCAAAAUAUGCAAUUUCAAAAUUUCCUAACCCAUAAUUACAUAUUUUGUGGGAAUGUUAUGAUUAUUCAUUGAUACUGUUUUAAUUUUAUUUUUAUGCAUCAAAACCCACAGUGUGCCCCUGAAUUUUCAUUAAUGUGCCAUUUUAAUAAUCAGUAGCAUUUAAUAGGGCUACAACAUUUCCUAAAAGUGUAUAAGUUGAGGCUAAUCCCACAAUGAUAAAGAAAUAGAAAAAAUUAAGAAUGCAAAUUUUCUAGUAAACAGAAUAAAAACUGUUUUGCCUAUUUUUAAAAUUACAUAAUAUGCUUUUCCUAACAAUAAAAUCACAGCUUAUAUUUCCACCAUGAUUCCAGAGACAUAUUUUAAUUAUCCUUAGAAUUAUCUGAUAACUUAAAAGAAACUUUCUGCUUAUUUGUUUAAUAUAUUUGUGUGUUGUUAUGAUUUGGAUUAAAGGUGUCCCCCAAAAGCUCAAGUAUGAGACAAUAUAGGAAUUUUUGGAGCUGAAAUGGUUGGAUUAUCAUAAUCAAUGGAUUAAUCCACUGAUAUGAUAUGGAUUAACUGCCUGGUAACUGUAGGUAGGUGGGGAGUUGCUGGAAGGGGUGGGUCACUGGAGCCCAUAACUUUGGGGUUUAUAUUUUGACCCUGGUGAGUCGAACUCUCUCUCUCUGCUUCUGGGUUGCAAUGUACUGAAGCUGUACCUCUUCCAUGUACUUUAGUCAUGAUAUUCUGCCUCACCUGGGGCUCAGAGCUAAGGAAUCAGCCAACCAUGGACUGAACUUCUGAAACUAUGAGCCAAAAUAAACUUUUCCUCCUCUACAUUGUCCAUGUCAGGUUUUUUGGUCAAAGAAACACAAAUCUGACUACUAUGUUUAAUAUACAAUACCCACAGUUAUAGACAAUGCUAUAAAAUAAUGCAAUUAUCAGUAGUUAUUACAAGCUUAAUUUUCAUUUUGUAUCAUAGUGAAGUAAGCCAAUCCCCCAAAAAACAAAGGCCGAAUGAAUGUUCUGUCUGAUAAGUGGAUGCUGAUCCAUAAUCUGGGGAGGGGGCAUGGGAAGAAUGGAAAAACUUUGCAUUGGGCAAAUGAGAGGGAGGGGAAAAUGAUGAGGAAAGAUGAUGGAAUGAAAAUGAGGACAUUACCCUAGGUAUACAUAUGAUUGCACAAAUAGUGCGACUAUCUGUUGCGUACAACCAGAGAAAUGAAAAGUUGUGCUCCAUUUGUGUAUAAUAAAAAGAAAUGCAUUCUCCUGUCAUGUACAACUAAUUAGAACAAAUAAAAAAAAUUUAAAAAGAGUAGUAACUUUGAAAGUGUUUAGCAGUUUUACUCCAAUCUCUAUUUCUAACUUGGGAAGAGUUCAAGAGUUUUAGAAGAAAAGAAAAAAAAAAUUAGAUGGCAGGAAGUACUAGAGAUUUCAUUUCACCACAUUUCACCCUCCCUAAUAAGCUCUAGAAAAGAGAAUAGGCUAUCAGAAAACCUCAAGGCAUUUUGAGAAUUCUGAAAAGAUAAAUAUGUUCUUCCUUUCAUAGUAGAGAUAAAAUGAUUGACAAGUCUAACCUCCCUUUUUUCUCUCCCUUCUCUAGAUAAAGCAAGUAAACAAAAAUGACCAUUUUCUUUGAGAACCUCAGAGAGCCUCAGAGACAGCCUCUGAGAUUUCUAGUACCUCAGUAUGGGAAAAGAACCACAGGGUAUUUAUUUGAGCUUAAAGUGGCAGAGAGAGAGAGAGAGAGAGAGAGAGAGAGAGAGAGAGAGAGAGAGAGAGAGAGAAGGAAAUGUAAAGAAGACUUUGGGGAGGGAAGACUCCCCAGUAACCUGACAGAACUCUGAUAAAAGAGAAGAUGGGCUUAUAUAUGUCUCAGCAGAUUCUGGACCCUGAUCUAAGUACACAUUCCAAUUAAUGACUUCAAUUUGUUUU